UGGGGAAUUUUGGACAAUGGGCGAAAGCCUGAUCCAGCAAUGCCGCGUGUGUGAAGAAGGCCUUCGGGUUGUAAAGCACUUUUGUCCGGAAAGAAAUCCUUGGCUCUAAUACAGUCGGGGGAUGACGGUACCGGAAGAAUAAGCACCGGCUAACUACGUGCCAGCAGCCGCGGUAAUACGUAGGGUGCAAGCGUUAAUCGGAAUUACUGGGCGUAAAGCGUGCGCAGGCGGUUUGCUAAGACCGAUGUGAAAUCCCCGGGCUCAACCUGGGAACUGCAUUGGUGACUGGCAGGCUAGAGUAUGGCAGAGGGGGGUAGAAUUCCACGUGUAGCAGUGAAAUGCGUAGAGAUGUGGAGGAAUACCGAUGGCGAAGGCAGCCCCCUGGGCCAAAUACUGACGCUCAUGCACGAAAGCGUGGGGGAGCAAACAGGAUUAGAUACCCUGGUAGUCCACGCCCUAAAACGAUGUCAACUAGUUGUUGGGGAUUCAUUUCCUUAGUAACGUAGCUAACGCGUGAAGUUGACCGCCUGGGGAGUACGGUCGCAAGAUUAAAACUUAAAUGAAUUGACGGGGUCAUAGCUGUUUCCU
rnacentral:rRNA from 1 species